GUUCUGUUCUGAAGCAAAGAUAUCCGUGGAGGCCGGCUCGUUCGUCCUAUUCUGAUAUUCAUGACCAAGAUGUACUGGAUUCUCAUUCGAAUAGACCCUGAAAGGAGAAGAAGGGCUGAAAUGCCAACAGACCUCUGUCUAUUCUCUAAUUCCCCCAAUGCAAUAGUACCCGUUCCCUAUUCUCUAAUUCCCCCAAUCCAAUAG
rnacentral:rRNA from 1 species